AAAUAGUUAUGUCAAUAAUCAAUACUAAAAAAUCAUUGUGCAGAAAAAGACAAAACUGAAUUGGAAAUAAAGAAUGGUUCAUAGCACAGUUACAAAAGCAGAUAUAAAAACAUAAAACAUGCAUAACUAUCUCUCCCAUACCAAGCAAUGUGUUAAGUUACCAUGCCUUCUUAAAGAAGAUAGUGAUUAUUCUUAGGAUUUUUAACCAAGGCCUA
rnacentral:misc_RNA from 1 species